AUCAUAUGUGUAAGUCACAUUUAGGAAGUUAUACACUUUCUUUUUUUUAGUUUUACAUGAAGUGAUUUUGAUCACUAAAUUAUAGUUAUAGAGUCUUUUACAUUUACGUUUCUGGUGAUCUGAUGUGCUAAAUCCAGGUAUAUACCAAGUGGGUUACACCUGAACCUGAUUAAGAGUCAAUAAAAAGGUCUACUCUCUAAAUAGGAUUCCAAAUUAUAUCAGUACUACAUAAAAAAGGAACAUAAAGAUGUCAGCCAGAAAACAAGUAACAAGUAACCAUGACAUUUUCAUGGUUUUACUUUACUUUUGCACAAAUGCACUUAAGAGUUCCAUUCUAAUCUGAUAAAAACUACUAUUGGGAUUACAUAUCAUCACAAUGAUAUGUAAGGAAUAACAAAAGAACGACUGGAAAUCCCUAUGUAUACUAAAGAAACAAUAAUGCAUUAAAGGUGGGGUCUCCGUUGUUUGAAAGCCAAUGUUGACAUUUGAAAUCACCAAAACAAACACGCCUCUAACCCAAAUGGGUGUCACCCCUGUAUUGAUAGCUCUGCAAACACACAUACAUAACCCAGGCAAAUGAAAGAAAUGUGUCUUUAUCAUAGCUGAAGGGAAGAACAAUAUGAUUGCAGAUAAACAAACAAGCUAAAUUGACACACAAGCAUAAUCAUGCAAAGAACGUCAUAUAUUAGUUCUGUGAAACAAAGCAAAACCAACGUUACUCACCUAUCAAGAAGGAAAAAAGCAACCUCGGCGUCCCAUCGCAGGCUUUCCCGCUCCUUCAGUUCUCUCCAGCGCUGGAAAGCUGAUCCUAUAUUAACACGGGUCCUGCUUCUUGCCUUAUCAUAAGCCUUCUUUUGCUUUUCGUUUUUAUCCGCCAUGUCAAUGUUUCAAUCGCUUUCAGACAUGUGCACUGAACACUCUCUCCGCCCAUAUUGACAAGACACGCCCCUUUCUGCUCAUUGGCUACACGUUUGUUUUGUUUGUCGGCCCGACUCAGUUUUCUGAAGCAUUUCUCAAACAUUGUGUACACCACCUUUAAUAUUAACCUCUCGUUUGUAUCAGCCGGAUCUGCCUGUAAUGUAAUAGCACUCCUUUCGCACUGGUCACACUAGUUUGCACAUUAUCAUGUAUAUACUAUAGAUCUAAAUUAUAUUAAACAUACUUAUCCGCAUUCCAUCCCAUUCAUUGCAUAUUGUACAGAUCUGUUUUUAUUCUUACUUUUUUUAUUUGUCCUUAUUGUGUGGAGAUUCAUAAAUCUGUUUAUUACAGUGGCAGAGAAGUGCAAAACAAAUUAACAACUCCGAAAACACAUUAACAAAUCCAAAAACAAAUUAACAAAUCCGAAAACACAUUAACAAAUCCGAAAACAAAUUAACAAAUCCGAAAACACAUUAACAAAUCCGAAAACAAAUUAACAAAUCCGAAAACACAUUAACAAAUCCGAAAACAAAUUAACAAAUCCGAAAACACAUUAACAAAUCCGAAAACAAAUUAACAAAUCCGAAAACACAUUAACAAACCCGAAAACAAAUUAACAAAUCCAAAAACACAUUAACAAACCCGAAAACAAAUUAACAAAUCCGAAAACACAUUAACAAACCCGAAAACAAAUUAACAAAUCCGAAAACACAUUAACAAAUCCGAAAACAAAUUAACAAAUCUGAAAACAAAUGAACAAAUCCGAAAACACAUUAACAAAUCCGAAAACAAAUGAACAAAUCCGAAAACAAAUGAACAAAUCCGAAAACACAUUAACAAAUCCGAAAACACAAGGACAAGUCAGACAACCCGGAAACGGUAGUGUAUCGUUUUUGAAUGGAAACUUACCGAUCAUUGGACAAGAAACCUGUCACUCAAGAUAUACAGGCGUCAUCGGGCAUCAAGGCAGGAUACACCCUUGACGGAGUGCCAACCCUUCGCAGGGCACACACACACACACACUCACGCAAUCACAGACUACGGACAAUUUUCCAGAGAUGCCAGUCAACCUACCAUGCAUGUCUUUGGACCGGGGGAGGAAACCAGAGUACCCGGAGGAAACCCCGAGGCACGGGGAGAACAUGCAAACUCCACACACACAAGGCGGAGGCGGGAAUCGAACCCCCAACCCUGGAGGUGUGAGGCGAACGUGCUAACCACUAAGCCACCGUGCCCCCCAUAACAGAAUUAAUCCACAGUAAUCCAUUCCAUCCAUCCAUUCCAACUUUUCCCUGCGGAAGACUGUUGAACUUCAUGUAUACCUUGAUUGACAGGUGUCUUGUCCAAUCACAAACUAUACCAACCUCAUCCGGGUUGUCUGAAAUGUCGUGUUUUCGGAUUUGUUAAUGUGUUUUCAGAUUUGUUAAUGUGUUUUCGGAUUUGUUAAUGUGUUUUCUGAUUUGUUAAUGUGUUUUCUGAUUUGUUAAUGUGUUUUCAGAUUUGCUAAUUUGUUUUCGGAUUUGUUAAUGUGUUUAGUGCACCGAUUCAGACAACCCGGAAGAGGUAGGUAUAGUUUGUGAAUGGAAACUUACCGAUCAUUGGACAAGACACCUGUCAUUAAAGAUAUACAGGUGAAUGAAAGGUGUCUCGUCCGAUGAUGCUAAGUUUCCAUUCACAGACUAUACCAACACAUAGUUUGGAUUUGUUAAUGUGUUUUCAGAUAUGUUAAUGUGUUUUCGGAUUUGUUAGUGUGUUUUCAGAUUUGAUAAUGUGUUUUCGGAUUUGUUAAUUUGUUUUGCACUUCUUGACCACCGUAGUUUAUUGUAUAUUUUCUCUCUUUACAUUGCGCCUACAUUUUACAUAUUCAUUAUUAUUGUAUUUCUUCUCACAUGUAAAACUACAUGUCGUACCGUGUAUGUUUAUGUAUGUGACAAAUAAAAUGUUAUACAAAAAUAA